GAAUACUCCAUCCGAUAUAGAAAAAUUUCUCUUACUCUCGGUGCCCAUUUUGCAUAAAAAUAAAACCAACUCCACCACCAGUAUGGUGUUAGCUUGUUGAGUGUUGACAACCGAAGUUGUUAGUUGUGCAAGAAAAAAUAAAAAAUAGAAAAAGGUAACUGAAGUUUGAAGGGGAAACAGAUGUCUCGUUCAAAUUCUCAACAGAUUCCAGAGCAGCGGCGUUCCUUGCUCCAUUUAGCGUUGUUCGCCUCUGCGAUUUCCCAAUUUGGGAAUUCGAGAAAGGGGUGAUUUAGGGAUUGAAUUGGUUGAUGAUCAGAUUCAUUGCUACCUACCAAAAGGGGGUUUGGCAGACCAUUUUCGUUUUUGGGUUCCAAGACCAAAAGUGAGAGAUUUGAGCUUGUUAGCAUUACACAUUUGAAAUGAUGAGCCAACUUUGUAAACCUACCAAUUCCCAGCUGUAUACAAACACUUCAAGUGUUUAAACUGAACUAGCUACUGAUCAUCGCCUCAUCGGUAAGCUAAUGUGAUCGAUAGAGGUGAUAGUGAAGUAUGAUGCUGAUAUCUGGAAAGAUUAGUAAGGUGACAUUGCACGUGGUGGAGUGUCCACCAUGUUCCCAGGAACUGCUGAUCAGAUGUGGAUAUCUAAGCCAGAGUAUGUAGAAUUUGGUCCAUCCAUUUGUCCACGGUGGAAACUUGUAUGGACCCUAAUGGAUCAGCACUGGAAACACUUAGACCGACAACUUUAUUCAUGGGAGAGGAUAACAGCAACAGGCAAACCUUGGAGCUGAAAUUCUGAGUACAGAAGCACAUUUGCAUUAGGUAGAGUCUUUGCCUUCUUGUCUGUUUAUUAUGGAGCUGGGCAACUAGAUACAAGAUGGUAUGGUGAACAAUAUGCUAGUAGAGGCUGCUGUCGCUGUUCAAGCAGGUGUUUGCAUGGACAUUUUUGCCAUUACAAAUGAGUAUACAGAUCUGGCGUCUUUGAAGUUUCUUAGUGUAGAGCGUGGAUAUCCAUAUACUGACGAUAGUCAUGUCUUCCAGAGGGCAUGUAAGUAUGCCAUGAAAUACUGUGGAUUUACUUGACCUUUCAGUGUUUGAUGUUGGAUAAAACUCAACUAGGAACCACUAUUAACGUCACAAAUAAUUUAAACUUUGAAGCUCAUCUAGCAUGCACGCAGCACACUCGUCUACAUAUUAUGAAGUUUAAAGGAAAGAACAAUUUAGUUUUACUUCUUACUUUAAGUUCCUUGGAAUAUCUGAAAUUAGUGCAUACUUUGGACUUUGUUUUUUUUUUUUCAGUGCAAGUCUUAGUUCAUUUAUAAAUUACUGUUCAUGGCAAUUAACGAUCAAUAAAUUAUAUGCAAAGUACAGGAUUUGAAGAGAUAUGAGAGCAUAUCUGUUGGUGUUAGCUAUGGUUAAUUCUCAUAUUUAUUGAAGUUUAUAACUUGAAAAUCAUGCAUGUCUCUUGACUUCAUUUUCUUGGUUUGUCGGUUGAUCCACUUCAAAAGGAUUUGAGUGCGCAUUCAAUCCAGUACCACAUCCCACCUCCAGUUGUAGGAAACAUUUACAAAUUGAUCAGUGCUUUCUACGCAACUUUCUAGAUUCUAGUUCCAAAUCCCAUUAUCCAUAUGUUCAAUUCCUUUUCAGUUCUAUUAACUUAAAAGAAAAGAAAAGGAAAAAAAAAAAUCCUGUUUUGCUACAAUGUCAUACUAUGUCAAAUGAUUUUGUUUUGAUAUUGAUUCUUUUUUCUUGCCCAACUGUAAUCAGUAACUGUGAUUUCGAGUUUGUUAAGUGGAAAAUUUAUAAUUUAAGUUGGAUAGGUAAAUUGGUCGUUAGUGCUUAGUAGCACUAUGUCUUCUUUUCUUUUGGGCUGGUGUGGUUGAUUGAAUGAACUGUAUGAUGUAAAAGGAAUUCUGCAGAUAUAAGCCAUCUGUUAUUGAACAGGUUAUUUCCUUUGUAUAUUGUCCACCAUUUACCUUCUCUACCCAGUAAAUUCUGAUCUUGCUCAUGGAUAAACUUGUUCACCAGUUCACCCUUUUUUGUUUUUGAUUUGUUUUUAAUGAAAAAGCAAUUACACCUUAAGAUUGAAUCAUGACUCAUUUUGUAUUGGACUAGUAGACAUUGAUGGUGAAAUCUAUCAAUGUAUGAUCUGACUCAUUUUGUAUUGGAUUACCAUUUAUUUAUGGUGAAAUCCACAUCAUUUAGAUUUAUGAUCUCAUAAGUUAAAACUCACCUACCUAAGAAGCCAAAAAAUAGAUGAGAUUAAGCCAUUUAGAGCGGACAGCUGAUUCAAUGUGUUAUUAUCAGUCCUUUUCUUCUUCAUCGUUGAGCCACUUAGACCAUUAUUUAAACAACCUAAAAUUAACCUAGAAAGGUUUGCACACCUUUCUAAUGAUAGUUAUAUUAGGUGGAUUUUGCUUUUUCUUCAUUUUCAUAGUGCAGUCUAACCACAGAUUAAGCAUCUCAUACUUUGAGUCUCAUUUUGUAUUGGAUUACCAUAGUGGAAUCCAGAUCAUUUAGAGCUAUGAUCUCGUCAAAGUUAAAACUCACCUACCUAAGAAGCCAAAAAUAGAUGUUGAGCCAUUUUGAGAGGAUUGAUUCAAUGCAUUGUUAUCAGUCCUUUUCCUGUACAGCUUUGAGCAACUCAGACCAUUAUCUAAACAACCUAGAAUAACAUAGAAGGGUUUGCACACCUUUCUAAUAAUAGUUAUAUUAGGUGGAUUUAAUAUGCUCAAUUUUUCUUCUCUGGUUUCUUCUCCAAAUUUCUGCAGUGCAACCACAGAAGAAUACUCCUAGUGUAAGUCAAGAGAACACUUGCCUCUUAACCCUCUAUAUAUUCUCCCAAGCCCCAGUUUUCCUUCCAUACAUCAAAAACAAGAAAAGAAAAAUUAUGGCCAAGCCCCACUUCCUCCUCCUCCUUCUCCUCGUACUCCUCCUCAACUGCGACCUAACAUCCCUCUCAGUCUUCAAGAUACACUCAUCUGGUCACCAAAAGCUCUCUACUGAUUCCACCACCAUCCCUCAGCCCCCACCAGCAAAGUUAUUCAUUACUCAGUCAUGAGACCUAUAUAUUUCGUAGUUGAAAUCAACAUAGGCAUACCCACCCAGAAUUUCUUCAGUCUGGCCCUUGAUAUAAAAAAUCCAUUCACAUGGGUUGGCACCUCCUCCAAGCCAAACAUCUCGCAUUCAUUCCUGGCCAUGCCAGGAAAGGACCCGCUGUGCCUGCCGCCUCUGCUGCAUCUUGCGCAUAUGACUUUGGUUAUGCUCAUGGGAUGUGGGUUUGAUUAUUUCUUGGGCAUAGAAUCUCAGAUCAAGGCUCCCCUUGGCUGGGGGAUUUUUACGGACGAACGGGAGGAGGGCGUGCGAGGCAGUAGUAGAGAUGCAGAUGGCAUCUUAGGGUUGGGAGUAGGGCACCCAGCCCACCUGUUAGAGGGGCUGGGGGCGGCAACUCUUUAUCAAUUCUCUUACUGUUUGCCACUGAACUAUGUGAUUGAAGAAAGUACUGACCAGCAACGCCACCCGGCUACUCUAAACUUCGGAGAAAAUGCAGCUAUCAGGGGUCAUCGGGCUGUGAGAACGCCCAUUCUAAGGCUGAAAGGGUCAGGACCCACCAAGGAUUUUUCAUAUCUGAAUCGGACAGGGAUCUAUGUGAACCGCCAUAGGCUGCAUAUAAACACACAAGUCUUUCAUCCCUCCCAGGGAGGAUUCAUUGUGGACACAGCAUCGCCGAACUGGAAGUGAGGAGGCCUACAAGGAAUUGAGACUAGCAAUCCACUUUUUUUUUUUUUUCUGAACAGUAUCCUGGUCUGGAGCCAUUGAAGGACCCAAAAUCAGGGUUUGAUAUGUGCUUGCUCACAUCGCCGCUGGUGCUACGAAGGCCUUCAAUCCAGCUCAUGUUUGAAGGUGGAGCCAAGCUCAUGCUAAACCCAGCGACAACUUUCCAUGAGUUAGGACCUCAACGAGUUCUGCCUUCUCAUACUACCACGCUCUUCUUUCCAUGAUGGUGGUUCUGCUCCCAGUGUCUUGGGUGUUCUCCAGCAAGUCGAACACAGGUUCCACUUUGACAUUCACGCUUCAAUUAUACCCAUAAUAUCUACUUGAGACUGCUGAGCCUCAUGCAGCAGUGUAACAAAGUUCGGGAGCAAAGGCCAGAAUUGAAGCGUGAAUGUCAAAGUGGAACCUGUGUCCGACUUGCUGGAGAACACCCAAGACACUGGGAGCAGAACCACCAUCAUGGAUAAAAACUAUAUGAAUAAAAACUAUGGGUGUGGUCUGUGUACGACCCAUUUGAACCAAGAUGUUGCUUUUUUCCAGUUAUCAAUUUCAGUUAUUUUGAGUGCUUUAAUUCCA